GAUGAACGCUGGCGGCGUGCCUAAUACAUGCAAGUCGAGCGAACAGAUGAGGAGCUUGCUCCUCUGACGUUAGCGGCGGACGGGUGAGUAACACGUGGAUAACCUACCUAUAAGACUGGGAUAACUUGGGAAACCGGGAGCAAAUACGGGAAAAAUUUUUAACCCGCAGGGUUCAAUAGUAAAAGCGGUUUUUGCUGUCCCUUAAAGAGGACCCCCCCCCGUUUUAUCUGUUGGUAAGGGAAACGGUUACCAAGGGAAGGUACGGUAGCCCACCUGGAGGGGGGUUGGCCCCACCUGAACUGGGACACCGUCCAGACUCCCACGGGGGGGAGCAGUAGGGAAUCUUCCGCAAUGGGCGAAAAGCUGACGGGGCAAAGCCGCGUGAGUGAUGAAGGUCUUCCGAUCGUAAAACUCUGUUAUUAGGGAAGAAAAAAUGUGUAAGUAACUAUGCACGUCUUGACGGUACCUAAUCAGAAAGCCACGGCUAACUACGUG
rnacentral:rRNA from 1 species